rnacentral:rRNA from 1 species
AAUGAACGUUGGCGGCGUGCCUAACACAUGCAAGUCGAGCGAGAAAGUUCCUUCGGGAAUGAGUACAGCGGCGGACGGGUGAGUAACACGUAAGAAUCUGCCCUAUAGUGAGGAAUACCCUCGAGAAAUUGAGGUUAAUACUGCAUAAGUCCCUGCGGGGAGAAAAGCGUCUUUUAUGUCGCUGCUAUAGGAUGAGCUUGCGGACUAUCAGCUUGUUGGUGAGGUAAAGGCUCACCAAGGCUAUGACGGUUAACCGGCCUGAGAGGGUGU